GACGACCGGUCGGAUGCGUCCGCCGCACCUCAUGCGAAGGAAGGCAUGAGCGUGCGACACGAGUCCGGCCCACAAGUGGAGGCUUCGAACUCCCACCUGACCGCCUUCCGGGGCGGCGGGUCACCGGUCAGGCGGUCCCGCACUCAACAGUGGCAAACCGCCCGAAAGCGCGCCCCGCGGUCCUCGCGGCGGUUGCUCCGGUAGUUCGAGGAGCUCCGCCUGUGAUCGUCCGGGGCAUUUUUU
rnacentral:ncRNA from 1 species